AGAGGGUGCCGCAAGGAGCCCGGAGACAGGUGGUGCGAUGGUUGUCGUCAGCUCGUGUCGUGAGAUGUUGGGUUAAGUCCGCAACGAGCGCAACCCCUACGUUUAGUUGCUAACGCGUGAAGGCGAGCACUCUAGACGAACUGCCGUUGACAAAACGGAGGAAGGUGGGAUGACGUCAAAUCAUCAUGCCCCUUAUGUUCUGGGCUACACACGUGCUACAAUGGCCGGUACAGACGGAGGCGAAGCCGCGAGGCGGAGCAAAUCCGAAAAAGCCGGUCUCAGUUCGGAUUGCAGGCUGCAAUUCGCCUGCAUGAAGUCGGAAUCGCUAGUAAUCGCAGGUCAGCAUACUGCGGUGAAUACGUUCCCGGGCCUU
rnacentral:rRNA from 1 species